UAUAUGUUAUAUAUAUUCUAGCCCUGUGUGAGGAGAAUGAUUAUGAGGAUGAAGUGGGCAGUGAGCCUGCAGAAGCUUUUGAAGAUGGAGACACAGGUGCCGAGCUGGAUGAUGAUGACAUCCCAUCUGAUGCAGAAGCAGAAUGCCGCCUCCAUCAAGAGGAGCCUGAAGACCUGAAGCUGAAAGUCUCUGAAGACAAAGAGUUAGAGGCAGAGACAGCUGCCCCGUGCACUGUAACUGAAGAUCCCUACAAGCCUUGUCAGCCAGCUGAGUCACCAUGUGAGAGGGUUGUUUCUCUUUCUCCAACUGGUAACCACACGGAAAAACAGAAAGAGG